rnacentral:piRNA from 1 species
GUGGAGUAUAUGUUCGGCGUCGUAGG